CCAACUCCUUAAUCACCACCUCCAUUAUCGCUUUCAUCGAAACCCAACAAUUUAUGAUGAUGAUGGUUACUCGAAGUUGAUAGAGGGGCAAACCUAUGCACGGUGAAGGAGGGCAACCAAUCCUCGCAUGAGGGCUAUCGGUGGAGGAGGGCGACCAAUCAUCACAUGAGGACUACUGAUGGAGAGGGAUGACCAAUCCUCACAUGAGGGGUGCAAGUGGAGGGGACGAUCAACCCUUGCAUGAGGACGGUAGGUGGAGAGGGGCGAUCCCACGCGAUCCUACGCCUACGCCAUCGCCAUCUUCGACCUCCAGAACCCAAGCUAUCUCCGGUAUCCUUGGCCCCGAUCUCUUCGUCACCGCUCCUCCGCCGCCUGUUCCCUUCAGCCCGAUGCUCUUCCUGCAAGAUUACAUGCGGCAAUUGUUGCUCUCUGGCGGGGCCGUUUCUAGCUGGUGUUGCUCCAUCUACCCAUCCAUUAAAGCAAAAAACGAAAAAAGAGUUGGUUUCUCUUAUUUUGCUUCGAGGACCCAUUGUAAGUGAUGUAGCAUUCUCUAGUUUUGGCAUGAGUUGCAGUUUUUAAUGAGUGAUGGUUAAUUC